rnacentral:rRNA from 1 species
CCCUUAGAGUUUGAUCCUGGCUCAGGACGAACGCUGGCGGCGUGCCUAAUACAUGCAAGUAGAACGCUGAAGAGAGGAGCUUGCUCUUCUUGGAUGAGUUGCGAACGGGUGAGUAACGCGUAGGUAACCUGCCUUGUAGCGGGGGAUAACUAUUGGAAACGAUAGCUAAUACCGCAUAACAAUGGGUGACACAUGUCAUUUAUUUGAAAGGGGCAAUUGCUCCACUACAAGAUGGACCUGCGUUGUAUUAGCUAGUAGGUGAGGUAACGGCUCACCUAGGCGACGAUACAUAGCCGACCUGAGAGGGUGAUCGGCCACACUGGGACUGAGACACGGCCCAGACUCCUACGGGAGGCAGCAGUAGGGAAUCUUCGGCAAUGGGGGCAACCCUGACCGAGCAACGCCGCGUGAGUGAAGAAGGUUUUCGGAUCGUAAAGCUCUGUUGUAAGUCAAGAACGAGUGUGAGAGUGGAAAGUUCACACUGUGACGGUAGCUUACCAGAAAGGGACGGCUAACUACGUGCCAGCAGCCGCGGUAAUACGUAGGUCCCGAGCGUUGUCCGGAUUUAUUGGGCGUAAAGCGAGCGCAGGCGGUUUGAUAAGUCUGAAGUUAAAGGCUGUGGCUCAACCAUAGUUCGCUUUGGAAACUGUCAAACUUGAGUGCAGAAGGGGAGAGUGGAAUUCCAUGUGUAGCGGUGAAAUGCGUAGAUAUAUGGAGGAACACCGGUGGCGAAAGCGGCUCUCUGGUCUGUAACUGACGCUGAGGCUCGAAAGCGUGGGGAGCGAACAGGAUUAGAUACCCUGGUAGUCCACGCCGUAAACGAUGAGUGCUAGGUGUUGGAUCCUUUCCGGGAUUCAGUGCCGCAGCUAACGCAUUAAGCACUCCGCCUGGGGAGUACGACCGCAAGGUUGAAA